rnacentral:lncRNA from 10 species
CUAAUUGGGGUUGUGAGCCACUCUCACCACCUCCAGUUUUCUUUUCCUAACCGACUUGGGGAGCCACUCUUGCAUUGUGUGCCAGGUAGGGUGUGAGAUUCAUCUGAAUUGGCGAGCCUCUGUCACCACCUCCAGCCUCUCUGGGUCAGAUUACUAGUUACACCCUUGGAGGUGAUCAGGCUCCCCUUCCGUCCUUAUGGGACGGAUCCUGUCUUUGGUCCCAAAACUUUACUGCAGUCCUGAAGAAAUCACACUGCUCCUGGAAUCAUCCUGUAGCCCCUCAGGUUCUGUUGUGCUGCUGGGUGGGGGCACCAGGUCACAGGAGAGCCGAUCUCCCCUCUGGGCUGAAGUUCUUCCAGCAGCGCCUGGGGUCACAGGUUUCUUUCCCUUGACCCUGGGCUCCAGCCCCACAAGAAAAGGAGAAAGUAAACCUGUCAUCUCCACUCCUCCUGUCUGGCUCACCAAAAAGUUCUGAGAAACUGAGGACCAGAGAGACUGAUAUGGGAAAACAGGAGGAUUUUUUUUUUUAAGGUACACACUGGCUCAGUGGAUUCAUAUCCAAAAAGCUGAGCAUUGAACAAAGACUGAGCAGGAUUUUUAUAAGCAGGCUUACAGAAGCAAAACAAUGGCAGUUAAUCAUACAAUGACAGGCUGGGGUGCAAUGGCAUGAUCUUCGAUCACUGCAACCUCCACCUCCUGCGUUCAAGCAAUUCUCCUCCCUCAGUCUCCCCAGUAGUGGGGACUACACCUAUGCACCACCACGCCCAGUCAAUUUUUGUAUUUUUAAUAGAGACAGGAUUUCAAUCAUGUUGGCCAUGCUUGUCUCAAACUUCCGACCUAAAGUGACCCACCCACUUCGGCCUCCCAGAUGCUGGGAUUACAGAUGUGAGCCACUGCACCUGGCCAAUUGCUGUACUUUCAUGAUACACAUGGAGUAUCCACAGUAUCACAAGGGCUAUUUUUUCCAUAAUCCAACUUAUUUGUAUUAUUGGUAGUGAGCUACUGUUGACGUCCCCACGUUAGCAAUUUAGUGGCUAUACUGAUGAUAAGCAUUUCCAUGCAUCAUGUGGUCAACAGCAUUUGCUACCAAGUGCCACGUUCCAUGCUCAGCAGUGGGACCACAGGAUGAGCGAGACAAAGUUCCUGACCUUUAGCAGCAAUAUCGAACAAGUGAGAUUGUCAAGAAAGAAAAAAUCCUUGUAAAACAUACCAUACCCCUACGAUUCAGUCAUCAUGCUCCCAGGUAUUUAACGAAGGGAGUAAACCCACACCUGGAUGUUUAUAGCAGCUUUAUUCAUAAUCGCCAAAACUUGGAAGCAAGAAAGAUGCCCUUCAGUGGGUGACUGGAUAAAGAAACUGUGAUCCAUCUGGUCAGUGAACUAUUACGAAGCCAUAAAAAGACAUGAAAGAUUCCUAAAUGCACGUUAUUGUACAAGUGAAAGAAGGCAAUGUGAAAAGACUCAUCCUGUUAGACAUUCCAGAAGAGCCUUCUGCCUUUUUCUAUGGAGAUGGUAGAAAACCCAGUGGUUGCAAGGGAUUUGGAGUACAAUGGGAUGAAUGGAAAGAGGACAGAGGACUUUUAAGGAAACAAAACUACUCUCCAUGAUGCUCUAAUGGUGGAUACAUGUCAUUAUCCCUUUGUUAAAAUCCAUAGAAUAUACAAAACCAGCAAUGAUCCUUCAUGUGAACUAUGGACAUUGGGUGAUAAUGAUGUGUCCCUGUGGCUCAUUGGUUGUGACGAAUGCUCUGUGCUGGUGUGGGUGCUGAUCCUGUGGGGGUGCUGUGUAUUGAAGGGGGAAGAAGGUAGAUGAGAACUCUGCAGUUUCUGCUUAGUUUUUCUGUGAAUCUAAAACUGCUAUAAAGAAAAAAAUAG